GUGCUGCACAGUAACUCAUCGUACACAGGAAUUAGCAGACUGUGUCGAGCAGUGAAAGGCUAACAGAGAGGAGGUAGGGUAGAUAUACAUCAGAGGGAUUGGUGCUGCACAGUAACUCAUCGUACACAGGAAUUAGCAGACUGUGUCGAGCAGUGAAAGGCUAACAGAGAGGAGGUAGGGUAGAUAUAGGAGGAAUUGUCCCUUUCCAGCUAAGAGAGUCCGUCUCAGGUAUGAUUAUCAAAAUUUACUCCCCAUCCACCCACCAUCAAACACACAUUCCAGGAAAAAGGUUAGCUCUAUUCAGGGAACACAGACCUUUGGGUUAGGAGAGAAUAUCGUAUAAAGAUGCAAGUUUAAGUUAUAAGGGCCUUCCCAAUUUUUGGAUGUCUGUUUUCUCUCCAGACCAAGUCUCUUUUGCUGCCCCUGUUCUGUGCCAUGUUUUUUUCAUCUGCUGCCAUAGAAAGAGUAUGCCCCCUUCCCCAAAGCAACAUGAUUCUAUUUAAGACUUUGCAGGAAGAUAGGACUUGGAGACCUAGUUUAGACUGUUCAAAGCUUUACAUAUUUAUCAAAGGUUCAAAAUGUUAACUUUGCAAGCUCUGCACCCCUUGGAAUUACCAUAAGCUUGUUGACUACCAUUGCUGUGAAGAACAGCUACCUUCACAUCCCCGUUUGCAUUGAAUGUAGGAGAUUCCUCAUAUUCCUGGCUGGAGCUUGUCAUUCUCAUUUUGCCUCAAUUAUCUUUAGUCUCUGCAUUGCUCCUGGGUUAUUCACCAAGUGCUUACUGUAGCUUUCGCCUAUCUCAGGCUUAGGGUCAUUCUCGUUUACCAUUAUCUGGACAGUUACACAAUUUGAGUUGUUGCUCAGGGGGAAGUAGUGGUGUCCUGUAGGAUACUUUGUCCUCCAUCUCCAACCCAUAUGUCAAUCCAUUUGAAAAAGGUGUUGUGCAUUAUCCCUGCUGCCGAAAUGUUCAGAAGGGGGCAGACCAAAUUCUUUCCAGUCUAAGGAUGUCCUUUGCACUCCUACGGAUGCAAAAUCCUGAUAAACAGGUGCUUUAGAGUUUAUUUGGGGAACCCUUAGUAGUAACCCUGGAGGCUUAGGGGAAACAAUUCCCAGGGCAGGGACAAGCUCAUUUAAAAAAAAUAUGUUGGCCAUAAUGCAUCCACUAGAUUAUUACAGAUGCCACCACUGUCAUGUGGUGCAUAAACAAGGGGUGUGCAUUCCUGUUGGCUGUGUAGGUUAUAGUAGUGAUGCCACAGAGUACAGUCUUUCAAAAGUGCCUUUUCUUGUAGUACUUACUCCAUGAAAGCAUAAUGCCUUGGUUACACCAGUUAACCAAAUCUUUUCCAACCUACAACUCUUUUAAAUUAGAGACGGGGCACAAGAUAUCCAAACAAACAUUGUCUAAAUGGAUGGCAAGUUGUACUGUAUUGUAUUGUGUAUUUUUUUUUUUUUUUUUUUUUUUUGCAACUGGUAUGUAAAAACAUUCCAAGGGUAGGUCAGAUCUCAUUCCAGUAGGGCAACAACCACAACACUUGUCUUCUUCAGGAAUGUCUCAGCACAAGCGUAUCAGUGAAGCUGCCUUAUGGGCAUCUAGUCACACUUUCUCCAGGUGUUAAAAGCUAGAGUCUUAUUCAGGAGCUAAGCAGGAUUUGCCACUGCUGAUUUGCAGGACAUACUGGCUCCCUAUUCAAAACCUGCAGUCAGGGCUUGUAAUGCUUUUGUACAUCUCUCAUCUGUGAUGGAUUGUAGUGCAGCAGCAGUCUCUUAUGAUGAAUGUGAUACAGCUGUGAGAGUAACUCACCACAACAGUAGAUACUCAAGUAUGGGAAUCACUGCUGCAGUAUGAGACCCCCUUUGACUUUCUGACACCCUGAAUGUCUGAAGUUGGCAGCUCUACUUUCUGUUUCUUCCUGCUGUCUGUCUGCAUUUCUUUCAUAGUCUUGGUAAGGGGAGGUACUUGAUGCAUGCCUAUCUUAGAACUUCCCUACAGGCCCAGAAUGACAAAUACACUGUUGGUGACAUCUGUCUUUCCCUUUAUUCAGACACGUGCACACACACAACGAACCAAAGAUGAUGCACAGGCUGCUUUUUAUAGCCAGAGUCCUGCUGAAGACUAACCCCCCUCCCCUGCCCCCUCCCAAAAAAAACCUGAAACUUUACAAGGCUGGAUGAAAGGCAACAUCUGCAUGUAGCUAAUUCUCAUCUGCACUGAAUUGUACUGCAGCUGCGAUCCUUGUAUUUAAACAUUUGCUGUUAUGGUGAGCUGACCACACAAUGGUGCUUUCCUUGAUUGACAAGAAUGAUGCUUCCUACCAUUUGGGGGGGGGUUGAAGUUCUGCAUACAGUCAGAGUGCCCUUGUUAAAGGAGACCAGUGAUGAUGCUUGUAGUAGGGCAGUGUGAUGUUGUGGGAAGAAGGUGGUUUUAUUCCACUUUGUAAUUGGUAUGAUGGUAAUUGAUUAGGACUCUAGUGAGAAGAGAAGUCACUAGAAUUAAAAAUGGAAAAAAAAGGACCGUUUCAUUAUUGGUAAAAGAAUCAUGUGUCCAUGAGGCAUUAAAUUAUUUGAAGUAUAGCAGUGCUUUAAAGAGACAGAUAAGCAUAGUGGUGUUUUGUUAGUCAUUAAGUUAUUUUUAAUAGUGUAAAGAAUGUAAAGUUAUUAAGCAUUUUAUCUUGUUUUGAAAUUUUAGAUUUUUUAAAAGAUUGUUUCCAUGGUCCAUGUACAUUAAAGCGUGCUAUGUACUGUAUUGUCACCUCCUUUACGUGUGGUGUAUAAUAAAGACAAUAACAAUGCA